GCCAACAAACUGACAGAUACUCAUGUCAGUUUCAACAACCAAAAAAUGAAGGUUUCCCUGGCGGCACAGACAUUAAGCAACUCGGUUGCAGUGGCCCUCCGGACACUGAAAGAUCUUGGCUACGAACAAUUUAAUGACUGUGAAGCCACAGUGGAAUUCCUUCAGGAGGCUGGAAUAACAACCCAACUGCUGGACAGUUCCAGGGUAUCUUCCGCAAGCUCAUGUACAGAUGUGGUGUCAAGCCUGUGGAUUCUGGCAACGUGAGAGGACAGGAUGCCACUGUCACCCGGUCAGCUGAGCACUACACAAGAGUCUCCCUUUCCGCUGCUGAGAUGUCCUCUGCAGAUGCCGCCACUGCUGAAGAGCUGGUUUCUCCAUUUCUGAACAUUUCUGCCCUUGUAGGGGACCACAGCUACCUCCCGACUCGCUUUGGUGCUCUAGUAGACAACGCACUGGUCUACAUUGCUGGGUUCGUCGUCCGGUGUAUUUUUCGCAGCCUGUCCUGUGAUGUGUGCCGUGCCAGCCUGGUGACAGAUGCUUUAGCUGUCCCAUUUGACCAGAGCUACCAUCUCCUGGAACUUCGUAAUAACGGUGGGCUGAUGAUUCCUUCAAAAGGAACUGUAAAGGUGGUGAGAGCUGCGGAGAGGGCCAUUCGUCAACACUCUCCAGGGAAAGCCCCUGAUGAGGUUGUUGUAGCCCACUUCGUCAGAGAGGAAAUCGGGACGGAGGACGUCUUUGCACUGGGGAGCCAUGUCCAAGAAAGCCAGUUUGGCAUCGACAAUCACCUGUCACUCCUCCUGUCGCUGGUUGUCUCUGUUUUUAUGCGAAUACGGCUGCAUCAUAUCGCCAAAUUAACCUCGCUUACCUGGCAGAGAGGAAAUUCCCGAAAGAAACUCGGAAAACCAUCCUGUUUCAAGGAUUUUGAAAACGACACAUAUAUAUAUAUAUAUAUAUA